UGGCCAGUGAUGAUACAGAUUAAUAAACACACCAUCUUUCGGGACUGAUUGGCUUUCUUCGAAGGCCUUGAUGUCAAAUUCUGCAAUUCUGAGGCCU